rnacentral:rRNA from 1 species
GAUGAACGCUAGCUACAGGCUUAACACAUGCAAGUCGAGGGGAAACGGCAUUGAGUGCUUGCACUCUUUGGACGUCGACCGGCGCACGGGUGAGUAACGCGCAUCCAACCUUCCCAUUACUGUGGGAUAACCUGCCGAAAGGCAGACUAAUACCGCAUAGUCUUCGAUGACGGCAUCAGAUUUGAAGUAAAGAUUUAUCGGUAAUGGAUGGGGAUGCGUCUGAUUAGCUUGUUGGCGGGGUAACGGCCCACCAAGGCUACGAUCAGUAGGGGUUCUGAGAGGAAGGUCCCCCACAUUGGAACUGAGACACGGUCCAAACUCCUACGGGAGGCAGCAGUGAGGAAUAUUGGUCAAUGGACGGAAGUCUGAACCAGCCAAGUAGCGUGCAGGAUGACGGCCCUAUGGGUUGUAAACUGCUUUUGUAUGGGGAUAAAGUUAGGGACGUGUCCCUAUUUGCAGGUACCAUACGAAUAAGGACCGGCUAAUUCCGU